CAGCAGCCGCGGGAAUACGAAGGGGGCUAGCGUUGUUCGGAAUUACUGGGCGUAAAGCGCACGUAGGCGGAUAUUUAAGUCAGGGGUGAAAUCCCGCAGCUCAACUGCGGAACUGCCUUUGAUACUGGGUAUCUUGAGUAUGGAAGAGGUUAGUGGAAUUGCGAGUGUAGAGGUGAAAUUCGUAGAUAUUCGCAGAAACACCAGUGGCGAAGGCGGCUAACUGGUCCAUAACUGACGCUGAGGUGCGAAAGCGUGGGGAGCAAACAGGAUUAGAUACCCGUGUAGUCCCUGUCUCUUAUAC
rnacentral:rRNA from 1 species